UACGAAGGGGGCUAGCGUUGCUCGGAAUUACUGGGCGUAAAGCGCACGUAGGCGGCUUGUUAAGUCGGAGGUGAAAUCCUGGAGCUCAACUCCAGAACUGCCUUCGAAACUGACGAGCUUGAGUCCGGGAGAGGUGAGUGGAACUGCGAGUGUAGAGGUGAAAUUCGUAGAUAUUCGCAAGAACACCAGUGGCGAAGGCGGCUCACUGGCCCGGUACUGACGCUGAGGUGCGAAAGCGUGGGGAGCAAAC
rnacentral:rRNA from 1 species